GUAGAAGUAUCCAAGUGGCCAAAGGAGCCUGGCUGUAAACCAGGUGAGCAGCGCUCUUCGCGGGUUCGAUUCCAUGCCUUCUACACCA
rnacentral:tRNA from 1 species